rnacentral:pre_miRNA from 1 species
ACAAGGGAAUAAGUGAAGCUGCCAGCAUGAUCUAUCUUUGGUUGAGAGAUGAAUGUGGAAACAUAUUGCUUAAACCCAAGCUAGGUCAUGCUCUGACAGCCUCACUCCUUCCUGGU